AAUAAAAGAAAAUCUGCCUUUAGGUUAACCCAAGAAUCAUCUUUGUACUUCUGCAGAAAUUAUAAAAAUAAUAAUUAUUACAAGCUGUCAGCUUCCCAGUUUGCACAAUUCAUCAAGAAAUUAUGCGGGGCCACUGGCACAAAUGAUGAGGCAUCUCCCGGAAGCUUAACUUCCUAUCCAUCCCAUCUCUUGGACAGAUGAUGCCAGUUAAUUACUUUGAAUGUAAGUAUUUUAUAUAAAAGCACUUAUGUGUCUAAACAGACUCCUACAAAUCAGUACCAAAAUGGUAAAUAAUUCCACAGAAAUACGGGCAAAAGCUUAUCAUUAUCAACAAAUGAGAAGAAAGAAACCCUAUGCCAGGUAACAUCAAAGCUUUGGCCCAGUGCCCUCUGUUGAAACAUCCUAGGCUUUUUCUUUCCACUCCUAUUACAACUGAUCUGAUUUGGCCCCUUCACACUUCACUCCUAGAUUUUGCUAGACCUUUCUAUUUUGUCUCCCUGAAUUAAGCUUUUCCUUUUGGGCACUUUACAUUGGAUUCUAAAAUAAUCCUCUGCAUGUCUACACUUGCACAUAAUGCAAAAAAAUAAAAUAAAAUAAAAUAAU